GCACCAUUUAUAACGCACCCAUCUACCGGCCCGCCGUGAGAAAACAAUCGACCAUUCCCUACUCCGGUUCGCCUUCAAAACCCCAAACACCAUAUGAAGCGCAAGAAAUGGUCGGAGAUGGAAGAGCAGACCCUUCUGACCAAGUACUCGGAGCUCCGAAGCUCGGGAGCCUUGGCCAAGCUCAAGACCCGGGAGAAGAAAUUCAAGCCCGUGGCGGACCACGUUAAUGCGGUACACCACCUCCAGGACCCAGCUAGCUUUCCAUUCAAGUGGACCUGGCGGGACGUGUCCAUCAAGGUCCAGAACAUGCGCCACCAGUACCUGGGCGUGAAGCAGAAGAUCCGGGUCUCCAAGGACGAGUUCAACUGGAAAGAUGGGGAGAAUCACUGGGUUAAUUUCUUGAAGUACAAGGAGGUGUUUGGGGACGUGGAGCUCGACGCCAAGGGAAAGAGGCUGUACGAGAAUAUUGAUGUUUUUGGGGAUUGUGGGGAUUUGGGGUUUGGGAUUGAUUCAGAGGAUUUGGAGGAAAAGGAGCAAGAAGAUGAAGAUGAAGAUGAGGGUAAAGAAGAUGAAGACGACGAAGAAAAUGACUGUAGUGGUGGUGAUGAUGUCAAUGGUGGCGGUGGUGAUGGUGAGCAAAUUGCGAGGAGUGAUGGUGAGUUUGUAGGUGAGAGGGGAAUUGGGGAAAUGGGUUUUGCUCGGAUGAAGAAACCGAAGAAGGGUUUGGGAGUAAAUCGGAGAUUGGAAUUAAUGGGUGCAAAAGUUUCGGAGUUGAGAGAUGUGGUGGUGAAGAGGGAGGAGAGGAAAAGAGAGAGGGAGUUUCGGCGAGAGAAGGGCGAGGUAGAGAGGGAAGAAAAAAGGAAAGAGGCGCAUUUGAGGUCCGUGAAGCGGCAAUAUGAAAGAAAAGAGUGGUUGGAGAAUAGGGAAUCGGAGUUGGAAGAGAGGGAGUUGAUGUGGGCAAGGAGGGAAUCUGAGAAGAGGUUGAGAUUGGAAAGGGAAUUCGGUGAAGAGCGGAGGAGAAGGAUGAUGAUGGAGGAGGAGAGGGAAGAGGAGGAGAUGGAGUGGAGGGAGAGGAUGGUGGGGUUGCAGAUUGAGCAUGAGAAGCAAAUGAUGCAAAUGCACGCCGAGGCGUGCCAGAACCAAAUGCAGGUUCUCGGGGUGAUGGCUCGGCUUGUUUGUCAGUUUUUUGGGUCGGCGAGUGAUGGGUUGGGUGGUGCAUUGGGAGCGUUGCCGCCUCAAGUUUUGCAGCAUCCGGGGGGAUUGGGCGAUAACGGGAAGCCUGAUGCCAAUUCGCCUUCUGAAUUCAUACUGAGUGCCUUAGCACCAUAUUGCUUGGCCCAGGCAUUAUUGGGUUGCGUUUACGAGAAAUUGGACCCUCGCAAGUUUGUGGUUUUAGUCUUGCAGAUUUUACCUUUUAUUGAAAUUCCUACGGAACAGAACUUGCUCAAAGCUCCUUGCUUCAAAAGCAUCCUAACUUGAAUGGUGGCAAAAAGGUGGUAUGGAGAUGAAUAGGUCUUGGUUUUGAAUCUUGCCAAUGAUCUUUGAAGUCAGUUGGGAAGAAAGCAGAACCUCAGAGUACAUAUCUUUAUAUUCAAUUGGCAAGUGAGCUUUCAUGUCAAGAUUCAAGCUGUAACUUUGCUUUGGAAAAUGGAAGGAAUGGCUUGAAAUCCUACUGGGCAGAUGAUGUCUUUGGGGAAUCUACUGGAAUUACUUAUGAUGAGCUUAUGUAUCACUCUAUCAGCCAUACAUAUAAACUUUGGCUGGACAAGACCCUUCCUGGGGUUUGUUGGGAUUUUGAACAUGCUCUGUUUGGAUCGAGGAAUCAAUUACAGUGAUGUGCCAACUUCCGUGCACACUUAGUUGUUAAAUUGGCCUCUUUUUGCCUAGUGUUUGAAAGCAUGACCAAAGAUUCUUGUCUUUUUUCUUUUUUUCUUUUCUCUUUUAAGGAUUAAGAGUGACAAAAAUCUCCUUGUAAACCAUUUCUCCUCUUUUGAAUAAAAAAUAGGCGUACGGUGAUGUACAUUUCAAACAAGAGAAAGCCUGGUUUCCAGUACAUUUCAGUUUGAACAAAGCGAACGAUAUUGGGAUGAUUGGAUUCGGCCAAAACCCUCCAGGUACUUUUUGCCUGAACUUCUCGCAUGGCUGGCACUUGGCAGGAAAAGGGCCUACUAAUUGGCAUUUUGCUAGAUGGGUCUUUCAA